CCUACGGGUGGCUGCAGUAGGGAAUCUUCCACAAUGGGCGAAAGCCUGAUGGAGCAACGCCGCGUGGGUGAAGAAUGUCCUCGGAGCGUAAAACCCUGUUGUUAGAGAAGUAAGUGCGUGAGAGUAACUGGUCACGUUUCGACGGUAUCUAUCCAGAACGCCACGGCUAACUACGUCACAGCAGCCGCGGCAAUACGUAGGUGGCAAGCGUUAUCCGGAUUUAUUGGGCGUAAAGGGAACGCAGGCGGUCUUUUAAGUCUGAUGUGAAAGCCUUCGGCUUAACCGGAGUAGUGCAUUGGAUACUGGGAGUCUUGAGUGCAGAAGAGGAAGGUGGAACUCGAUGUGUAGCGGUGAAAUGCGUAGAUA
rnacentral:rRNA from 1 species